AAUAGAUACCCUGGUAGUCCACGCCGUAAACGAUGAGUGCUAAGUGUUAGAGGGUUUCCGCCCUUUAGUGCUGCAGCUAACGCAUUAAGCACUCCGCCUGGGGAGUACGGCCGCAAGGCUGAAACUCAAAGGAAUUGACGGGGGCCCGCACAAGCGGUGGAGCAUGUGGUUUAAUUCGAAGCAACGCGAAGAACCUUACCAGGUCUUGACAUCCUCUGACCUCCCUGGAGACAGGGCCUUCCCCUUCGGGGGACAGAGUGACAGGUGGUGCAUGGUUGUCGUCAGCUCGUGUCGUGAGAUGUUGGGUUAAGUCCCGCAACGAGCGCAACCCUUGACCUUAGUUGCCAGCAUUGAGUUGGGCACUCUAAGGUGACUGCCGGUGACAAACCGGAGGAAGGUGGGGAUGACGUCAAAUCACCAUGCCCCUUAUGACCUGGGCUACACACGUGCUACAAUGGAUGGUACAAAGGGCUGCGAGACCGCGAGGUUAAGCCAAUCCCAGAAAACCAUUCCCAGUUCGGAUUGCAGGCUGCAACCCG
rnacentral:rRNA from 1 species